rnacentral:rRNA from 1 species
AGCAGUCGCCGCGGUAAUACGUAGGUGGCAGGCGUUGUCCGGAAUUAUUGGGCGUAAAGGGCUCGCAGGCGGUUUCUUAAGUCUGAUGUGAAAGCCCCCGGCUCAACCGGGGAGGGUCAUUGGAAACUGGGAAACUUGAGUGCAGAAGAGGAGAGUGGAAUUCCACGUGUAGCGGUGAAAUGCGUAGAGAUGUGGAGGAACACCAGUGGCGAAGGCGACUCUCUGGUCUGUAACUGACGCUGAGGAGCGAAAGCGUGGGGAGCGAACAGGAUUAGAUACCCGUGUAGUCCCUGUCUCUUAUAC